GCGCAACAACUUCCACGUGGCUUACCUUUUCAGUCUUGUGUCAUUGCUUGUAUCGCAUUGAAUGCAUGGUGGGUUUCUUGUGUUGCAUGCCUAAUUGAUGGUAUCAUUUGAAGAACUGAUGUCCCUUUUCAUCUUGUGUCGCACAUGCGAUGUGAGAUGAACCUUGAAGUAGCCUUUGUGAUCCACUCUUUCGAUGUACACGCAUUGAUUUUGUGGCCCACUGUGUGUUGCUUGGUCUCAUGGAUAUGGAACCUGGUGUGGGCAUGGGAUCUUUACUAGUUCCUUGUUUGCCCUGGUUUAGCUUUUCUAAAACACGAUUGUUUAUCACAUUUUAAUGUGGUAGGCUAUAUCGGAUAUGAAUGCUACCUGGUUGAUCCUGCC
rnacentral:misc_RNA from 1 species